GCGCGCUUAGCUCAGAGGCAGAGCAGCAGCCUUCUAAGCUGUAGGUCACAGGUUCGAAUCCUGUAGGGCGCU
rnacentral:tRNA from 1 species